UUGCACCCAUCUCAGUUUGGCUCAGUUAUUGCACCCGUCUCAGUUUGGCUCAGUUGCACCAAUCAAACCCCAUAACUGCACCUUUAUUUUCCUUUCCUGGAAAUGACUUUCUUCACCCCUAGAUGCUUCAUUCCUCUCUAAGCGUCUCUAAAGAUGGAAAUAGACCUUUUCUCUGGAAUGAAUCCCGCUGUCAUCUCACUGGUACCUCUGAUUUUUUUUAUCUUGUGCCUUAAGAAUCCUGCCUGCUUUUGGACUUCCUACAGAUCCAGGCCUUGGUCUUAAGGUUUUAUUUAUUUAUUUAUUUUUUCAAAUUCUUUCUGGGAAGACCACUGGACCUUGAAAAUGUCUUUGACAAACCACAGAUGUUCAUGUUCAAAAGUGAAAAUACAUAGUAACAUCCUUUAAUAGUCUACAUCUCACCCUGGAGAACUCAUUUGGGCUGUUAACCCUAUAUUUCUUCCAACAUUAGUCUUAAUAAGAAUACCUCUUGUUUUUGAGUGUUUAUGUUCAAGGAAUCGUCUUGAACAUUUAUCAUGGCUUCUAUCAUUGAAUCCUUACAACAGUCCCAUGAGAUCCAGGUGAUGUCACGAUCCCCAAUUUACAGAGGAAGAAACCGAGAUCUAGAGGGGGUGCCCCGGAGCACAUGACCUGACAAGCACAACAUUCUGCUCCUCUUUUUUUUUUUUUUUCAGCUACUUUUUUAUUGACUAAGGCCAAGCUUGAUAGGUUGCAUUUGGCUAUUCCCCAGAAUAUCCAGCCUCUAGCCGAAAUAUCAGAGAGCAGUGAAUUGACCAAAAAAAAUAGAUUAAAAGAUAUAUAAUGAAGAAAAACAACAACUUUAGACAGAAAGUUGAGGAUCUGGGUUUAAGUUCUGGUUCUCCGCCAACAGGACGCUGACUUUCCCAAAGCGUCUGUUUUCUCAGACUGUUAACUGUGUCGGUGACAUCCACUUCUCAGGGUUGUUGUGAGCGUCCUAAGUGAGCCCACCGAGCUAGAGGCCUCGUGGUGCUAUUUCCAGGGGCCGCGAAGCUAAUCAUGCAUCAUUAAUAUGAAAGAGGAGCAGCCUCCGCUCUGGAACCAGAGUGCCCUUCAUUCGUGCUGCAGAGGCAUGCAACGGUUUCUCUGGCUGUGCCUUCUGCGGGGGAUGGUAUGAGGGGGCAAUCCAGGUAAGUGAGGGGAUGGGAACCACCCAGCCAACUUGUCUCAAGGCUCCUGGCUGCCCACCCUCUGUGCCUCCCGAGCGCUUUAUUUAUACUUGUCCUAUGAAAUAGCGGGCAAACAACAGGCUUCUUAUGUACAUUUUGGUACUGGGGGCUAGAACCAGAUGGGGGUCUCUGAUAAGAAUGUCGCAGCGCCCCGAAGGGCACAGGCUAGGCCUGCCUGGAAGCAACAUUCUCUUGACUGCUCAGACCUCUCUGGUUAGGGGUGGGAGUGGUGCAUGGCGGAAACACAGAGAAACAUCUAACAGAGAGGCUCUGACUGGGAAAUAGGACUGUAGCGAUGUGGGCUGCGGUGGGGGAGGGUUGGGAGCGGUAUGGACGCCCACUCAGCCCCCCAAGCCCCCUCAGAGUCAAUGCUGCAGCUCCUAUAGAGCAGAGAGGCGGGGGUGGGGCGGCCCCGGAGUGUCAGCCGCACCUCCGUGAACAGGCUGCAACUGCCCGCCAGUGCAGGCCUGCGAGGUCUGAGUCCUGGGGGAAUAGCUGGCGGUGAGUGGAAAGUGACAUGAAACAGGAAGCUGGGAGGGAAGGAUCCCAGGGGACCACCUUCCUCUAGCAAGUCGUUUGUAGCCGCGGUGGCCCUGCGUCUGCCUGCCUCCUGAAUCCACCACAGCGUGCUCGCAACCCAACAAGAUCCCAAAGGUCUUCCAUUUAUUCCAGCACACCUAGGAUUUCUUUUCUGAGUGCGGCCUGUGUGUGUGUAUACGAGAGAAACAGGCAGAGCAUCAAGGGUUCGUGUGUUGCAGAGGCCGGGAGGCUGGGAGGGGGGCUUCCCAUCCCCCUGGGGCCCGUCCUCUCUCGCCAGUGUAGCCAAAGGACACAUUGACUGUGGGGUCCUCCCGUUUCCCCAGGCUAAUUACAUGCCUCUUUAUGAAAGGAAAUAGUUUCCCGGCCGAGCUGGGAAACCCAAGUCCCCGGUGCCCCCUCGUCGCGGGUAUCAUGGGAAGGACAAGAAAGGAGGCAGCUGCUCACAGUUCCCCCUGCCUUCCCCGGCCUCGCCCGGGGCGCCCAACCCGGCCUGGAGACGCGGAGCGCCUCCUCCUCCACGCAGACGCCUCGGAAUCCACCUCUGGGCCGCGCUGAGAGACGCGGAUGCUGGGAGGAAACCCUGGCGAAGGAUGCGAGGAGACAGAUGGACGCAAAGAGACGCAGAGAGGAGAUCCCACGAUCCACAGUCGCUGCGAGACCCACAGCGAGAGGGAGGACGCCGCUGAGCGGGGAGGGAGCCGGCCGUGGAGCCCAGGGGAGGCUGACCCUGACCCUGACCUCGGGGCUGCCUACCCGAACUUCAACGCCUGUCUUCCAAUUCUUUGUUUUAAAAAAAAUGCCACAACUGGGGAGGCUGGGACUGGGGAAACCAUGCAGAGGAGUGAGGGGUAAGCUGCAUUUGUGGUCUUUUGAUGACGAUUCAGCAACCUCUUUCCUGAGGAAAAUCUGCCACUUGUUUAUUAUCCCUCAGUCAGUCCAGAAGCUCAGUGGUGUCCGAUGCUUUGUGAUCCCAUGGACUGCAGCACACCAGGCCUCCCUGUCCAUCACCAACUCCCAAAGUUUUACUCAGACUCAUGUCCAUCAAGUCAGUGAUGCCAUCCAACCAUCUCAUCCUCUGUCGUCCCCUUCUCCUCCAAGGAAGUCCCUCAAUUAUUAUACUUCAACUGCAGUCAACGCAGAGCUGGAUAAAGAAGCAGAGGACUGGAGACUGUGAACCCCUUGAAGGCAGAUAGAUCUCUCUCUCCUAUUUGAAAUCUUUAUUGAGAUCAUUGCAAAUUCACACACAAAAAGCUACUAACAAUAAUACAAAGACAUUCCUUGUACACUUUGCCCAUUUUUUCCCAAAGGUAACAUUUGCAAAGCUAUAGUAUAGUAUCACAACCAGGAUAUUGACCCUGAUACAGUCCACAGAUCUUACUCAGCGUUUCCAUUUUACGUGUGCCUGUGUGAGUGUUUAGUCUUAUACAGUUUUAUCACCUGUGUAUGUUUGAACUGUCACAAUCCAGAUUCUGAAGUUACGACAGGGAACAAGGAUCCCUGUGUUGCCCUUUUAUAACCAUCCCUGCCCGCUGUUCCUGGCAGGCACUAUUCUGUGAGUCAUUUCUAAGGUUUUAUUUCAAAAAUACUAUAUAAAAUAAAUCACAUCACAUGUGUCUUUUGGGAAUUGGCUUUUCUCUCUGCAUAAUUCCCUGAAGAUCCAUCCAAGUUGUUGUGUGCAUCAAUAAUUCAUCCCUUUUUUUCGUUUUUAUUUGUGAGUAGUAAUUUGUGGUAUGUUGGUACCAGAGUUUAUUUAACCAUUCACCUUUUGAAGGACAUAUGGGUUGUUUCCAGUUUGGGGCUUUUACAAAUAAGGCUGCUAUGGAUGUUCAGUUUAUGUGACUAUCAAGUGAUUUUCUAUCCAAUGACCGCAUUGCAUGGGCACACAGUGGGUCCUCAGUCAAUACUCCUUGGAGACUGAAGACAAUUGACUUUGGCACUUUCAUCCAAGAGGGAGGAUGGGAGGAUUACAGUAAUGACAAGAGUUACCCUCAACAAGGAACCAAAAAUCAAGGCUCCAUCUGAAGAAAGAACUGAUCAAAAGACACAGAGUCAUCAGCAUUAAGCAGUGGGGACAAUGAGGGCAAGAUGCUAUAUAGAGACAAAAGGUAAGGUUCAGCACACCACCUAGAGUAAUGGAAAUAAAAGCAAAAUUAAACAAGUGGGACCUAGUCAAACUUAAAAGCUUUUGCAGAGCAAAGAAAACUAUAAACAAAGUGAAAAGACAACCCUCAG